rnacentral:rRNA from 1 species
AUACGUAGGGUGCAAGCGUUAUCCGGAAUUAUUGGGCGUAAAGGGCUCGUAGGCGGUUCGUCGCGUCCGGUGUGAAAGUCCAUCGCUUAACGGUGGAUCUGCGCCGGGUACGGGCGGGCUGGAGUGCGGUAGGGGAGACUGGAAUUCCCGGUGUAACGGUGGAAUGUGUAGAUAUCGGGAAGAACACCAAUGGCGAAGGCAGGUCUCUGGGCCGUUACUGACGCUGAGGAGCGAAAGCGUGGGGAGCGAACAGGAUUAGAUACCCUGGUAGUCCACGCCGUAAACGGUGGAUGCUGGAUGUGGGGCCCGUUCCACGGGUUCCGUGUCGGAGCUAACGCGUUAAGCAUCCCGCCUGGGGAGUACGGCCGCAAGGCUAAAACUCAAAGAAACUGACGGGGGCCCGCACAAGCGGCGGAGCAUGCGGAUUAAUUCGAUGCAACGCGAAGAACCUUACCUGGGCUUGACAUGUUCCCGACCGCGGCAGAGAUGUCGUUUCCCUUCGGGGCGGGUUCACAGGUGGUGCAUGGUCGUCGUCAGCUCGUGUCGUGAGAUGUUGGGUUAAGUCCCGCAACGAGCGCAACCCUCGCCCUGUGUUGCCAGCACGUCAUGGUGGGAACUCACGGGGGACCGCCGGGGUCAACUCGGAGGAAGGUGGGGAUGACGUCAGAUCAUCAUGCCCCUUACGUCCAGGGCUUCACGCAUGCUACAAUGGCCGGUACAACGGGAUGCGACACGGCGACGUGGAGCGGAUCCCUGAAAACCGGUCUCAGUUCGGAUCGCAGUCUGCAACUCGACUGCGUGAAGGCGGAGUCGCUAGUAAUCGCGAAUCAGCAACGUCGCGGUGAAUGCGUUCCCGGGCCUUGUACACACCGCCCGUCAAGUCAUGAAAGUGGGCAGCACCCGAAGCCGGUGGCCUAACCCCUUGUGGGAUGGAGCCGUCUAAGGUGAGGCUCGUGAUUGGGACU